CACCAAGGCGAAGACGGGUAGCUGGUCUGAGAGGAUGAUCAGCCACACUGGAACUGAGACACGGUCCAGACUCCUACGGGAGGCAGCAGUGGGGAAUAUUGCGCAAGUGGGCGAAAGCCUGACGCAGCCACGCCGCGUGAGCGAUGAAGGUCUUCGGAUCGUAAAGCUCUGUGGGGGGAGAAGAAGAAAGUCGGUGAAGAGCCGGCCCUGACGGUAUCCCCUUAGCAAGCACCGGCUAACUCCGUGCCAGCAGCCGCGGUAAUACGGAGGGUGCAAACGUUGCUCGGAAUCAUUGGGCGUAAAGCGUGCGCAGGCGGUUUGGUAAGUCAGAUGUGAAAUCCCCGGGCUCAACCUGGGAACUGCAUUUGAGACUGCCAAGCUGGAGUUUGGCAGAGGGGGGUGGAAUUCCACGUGUAGCAGUGAAAUGCGUAGAGAUGUGGAGGAACACCGAUGGCGAAGGCAGCCCCCUGGGGCCAAUACUGACGCUCAUGCACGAAAGCGUGGGG
rnacentral:rRNA from 1 species